GGAAUGCUACAUUUCUCCAGAUCUCUUCAGAUGAAGAAACAAAGUCUUAGAUGGCCUGAGGGAGAUCAGGUAAUGACAGCAGUGGGAUCCUGAAUGGAGACUGAGAGCCUAAAAUCAGGGCAUGUACCAACACGCCCCAAUUUUGGUAAAGAAGAUGCCCAAUCAUGCUGCACUCCUCCUGUGAGAUGCUGAAAAACAAUUCUAGAGAGAAUCCCGGGACCCAGAGGAGAUGAUGUUUUCCUCUACAACAAGCACUAAACACAGAACACUAGAGUAAUGAUGCUCAGCGGUGUCUGAAGGAGUGGGUGGAGAACUCAAACUCACCUCAAACUGAGAUGGCAAACAAAUGAAUGGGUCUUUGAUGUGGUCAACACCAGCACAUCAACCUCAUUUUAACACAUCUGUUACCCACAACAGCCAUGGAAAAGGCUUUCUGAACUCAUCAGGAUGUCAAGGCAAGCAUCACUGUUAUUAUUGUACAUACUCAGGGUUAGGAUUUAAGCAUAUGUCUAAUUGGUGUGUAGCUCGACCCAUAGUGUUUGUGCCACAUUGACAAACCACUACCAAUGAGAUUUGUAUUGGCACCACUCAAUCCUAAAAAAAAAAGUAAAUAUGUAGUUUCUU